CGUGCUCCGGGACUGGACCGCGUACG
rnacentral:piRNA from 1 species